UUAAAAGAAUGAAAGUUACAGCGGGUACUCGCAUACACGACACGUGGUGACUGUUCUACGUCUCGAUCGGGAAGAAACUGAAACAACUGAAAA